rnacentral:misc_RNA from 1 species
GGGGGCGAAAUGGGAUCGACUGGCAUUGAAAGAUAUAAGCUGUGCUCGGCAUGAUACCACCGUUAUCGGGUCAAAAAGUGUAGUUGCAAACGACAACAACGCUAAGGAAUACGCUCUCGCUGCCUAAUGGCGGUGCGGGAAUUCCGCUCUAAGUCCUUACGGUUAGCCCCGUAAGGCGGGGUUCGGAGGUACCUGGCAACAGAAACCUCCACCUAAUCCUAGCCGUCAGUUAGUCCACGUCAAAUGCGUUCAAACUAUUGAUUGUGCUCAGCACUUACGUCGACUAACUUAACUCUUGUCUUUAUAAAGUUCGGUACCCGGCGCCUCCACC